rnacentral:pre_miRNA from 1 species
CAACUACUCCCUCCGUCCCAAAAUUCUUGUCUUAGAUUUGUCUAGAUACGGAUGUAUCUAAUACUAAAAUGUGACUUGAUACAUCUGUAUCUAGACAAAUCUAAGAUAAAUUUUUUGGGACGGAGGGAUUAGUUU